CUAGUGUACAUAUGUGAAAAACACAAAUAACACAAAUAAGUGCUACAAUAAAUACCCAAAAAUAAGUGUGCAAAUCAAAAAAGGAUAAAAAAUAUAUCUACCAGUAGUUAAAUCUUAAUGUAUCAGGACUGGCAAACAAUCACCAGGCCACUUAGUAGGUAUAUAUCGCAAAAAAAUUUAAAGAAAACGCUGGUAAAUCUCAGCACUUCAUGCAGCUGUACUAAGUGCUAGGGGAUUGUAGCUAGUAUUGUAAUAAAUUUAUACA